rnacentral:rRNA from 1 species
UAAGGAAUAUUGGUCAAUGGAGGCAACUCUGAACCAGCCAUGCCGCGUGUGUGAUGAAGGCCCUUUGGGUUGUAAAGCACUUUUGUCUGGGAAGAAUGACAGGGAUUUAUCCUUGGAGAGACGGUACCAGAAGAAUAAGCACCGGCUAACUCCGUGCCAGCAGCCGCGGUAAUACGGAGGGUGCAAGCGUUAUCCGGAAUCACUGGGUUUAAAGGGUACGUAGGCGGUAAUAUAAGUCAGACGUCAAAGGCCAUGGCUAAACCAUGGUACGCGUUUGAAACUGUAUCACUUGAAUAUGUUCGAGGUGCAUGGAAUGCGUCAUGUAGCGGUGAAAUGCAUAGAUAUGACGUAGAACACCAAUUGCGAAGGCAGUGCACUAGGGCAUUAUUGACGCUGAGGUACGAAAGCGUGGGUAGCGAACAGGAUUAGAUACCCUGGUAGUCCACGCCCUAAACGAUGCUAACUGGUCAUUUAACCGCAAUAGUUAAGUGACUGAGGGAAACCAUUAAGUUAGCCACCUGGGGAGUACGUUCGCAAGAAUG